ACAUGAAACUUUAAAUCUAGCCUCAGAAAAAAUAAUUCCGACAUAUUCUCAAAUUUUCUUAAUUUUCUGACACUGUAAAUUUUUUGCUAAAAGAUUAGACCCGUUCCUCACAGAAAAAUUCAAAUCUUCUGUUUCCACUCCAAUUUUAGCACAAGUCACAGUCCAAUAAAAAUAGUAUCUUACACUAUUUUUAUUUACACAUACUUUUAUAUUAAAAAUCUGGUACAUUACAUACAAUCUCUUCUCACUCUCUCUUGAUCUCUCCCAAACUUG
rnacentral:lncRNA from 1 species